CUACGGGUUGCACCAGUGGGGAAUAUUGCACAAUGAGCGAAAGCUUGAUGCAGCCAUACCGCGUGUGUGAAGAAGGCCCGAGGGUUGUAAAGCACUUUCAAUUGUGAGGAAGGUUCAGUAGUUAAUACCUGCUGUUCUUGACGUUAACUUUAGAAGAAGCACCGGCUAACUCUGUGCCAGCAGCCGCGGUAAUACAGAGGGUGCAAGCGUUAUUCGGAAUUACUGGGCGUAAAGCGCGCGUAGGCGGACUAUUAAGUCAGUUGUGAAAGCCCUGGGCUCAACCUGGGAACUGCAUCUGAUACUGGUAGUCUAGAGUUUAAGAGAGGGAAGUGGAAUUCCAGGUGUAGCAGUGAAAUGCGUAGAUAUCUGGAGGAACAUCAGUGGCGAAGGCGACUUCCUGGCUUAAAACUGACGCUGAGGUGCGAAAGCGUGGGUAGCGAACGGGAUUAGAUACCCGGGUAGUC
rnacentral:rRNA from 1 species